rnacentral:rRNA from 1 species
AAUCAAGCGCGAAAAGGGCGUUUGGUGAAUGCCUUGGCAGUAAGAGGCGAUGAAAGACGUGAUACUCUGCGAUAAGCCAUGGGGAGCUGAGAAUAAGCUUUGAUCCAUGGAUUUCUGAAUGGGGCAACCCACCUGAUACUUUGUUAUUAUUGCUCAGCAAUGAGCAGCUAAUAAUGAGGUAAACCAGGUAUUUCUAGACUGAAUAUAUAGGUUUAGAAAAGCAAACCCGGGGAACUGAAACAUCUAAGUACCCGGAGGAAAGGAAAUCAAUUGAUACUCCCCUAGUAGCGGCGAGCGAACGGGGACCAGCCGAGCCAUGAGUGUGGUUAGAAUGCGUUGGAAUGCGCAACCAGAGUGGGUGAUAGUCCCGUAUAAGAAGCAUGAUUGGACGUAUUAAGUAGGGCGGAACACGUGAAAUUCUGUCUGAAGAUCGGAGGACCACCUUCGAAGGCUAAGUACUCCUUACUGACCGAUAGUGAACCAGUACCGUGAGGGAAAGGUGAAAAGCACCCCGACGAGGGGAGUGAAACAGUACCUGAAACCGAACGCCUACAAUCAGUUGGAGGGGCUUUACGCCCUGACAGCGUACCUUUUGUAUAAUGGGUCAUCGACUUGGUCUCACGAGCAAGCUUAAGCCGUUAGGUGUAGGCGUNNNNNNNNNNNNNNNNNNNNNNNNNNNNNNNNNNNNNNNNNNNNNNNNNNNNNNNNNNNNNNNNNNNNNNNNNNNNNNNNNNNNNNNNNNNNNNNGUUAGGUGUAGGCGUAGCGAAAGCGAGUCUUAAUAGGGCGUUGAGUUCGUGGGAUCAGACCCGAAACCGAGUGAUCUAGGCAUGGCCAGGUUGAAGGUAAGGUAACACUUACUGGAGGACCGAACCCACAUCUGUUGAAAAAGAUCGGGAUGAGCUGUGCCUAGGGGUGAAAGGCCAAUCAAACUCGGAGAUAGCUGGUUCUCUGCGAAAUCUAUUUAGGUAGAGCGUCAUCCGAAUACCCUCGGGGGUAGAGCACUGGAUGGGUAAUGGGGCCCCACAGGCUUACUGAUCCUAACCAAACUCCGAAUACCGAGGAGUACUAGAUGGCAGACACACGGCGAAUGCUAACGUCCGUCGUGAAGAGGGAAACAACCCUGACCUCCAGCUAAGGCCCCUAAUUCAUGGCUAAGUGGGAAAGCAGGUGAGACGACCAAAACAACCAGGAGGUUGGCUUAGAAGCAGCCAUCCUUUAAAGAUAGCGUAACAGCUCACUGGUCUAAAUAAGUUGUCUUGCGGCGAAGAUGUAACGGGGCUCAAGCCAUGAGCCGAAGCUGAGGAUGCAUUUAUUGCAUGGUAGCAGAGCGUAGUGUGACAUAGUUCCAUGUGUCCUUAUCUUCCCUCGGGAAGAAUUGGACACAAGGAGCUUUCUGUGAAGCCGGCGCGUAAGCGAUCCGGUGGAGAGAUCACUAGUGAGAAUGAUGACAUGAGUAGCGACAAAGAGUGUGAGAAACACUCUCGCCGAAAGUCCAAGGGUUCCUGCUUAAAGCUAAUCUGAGCAGGGUAAGCCGACCCCUAAGGCGAGGCCGAAAGGCGUAGUCGAUGGGAACCAGGUUAAUAUUCCUGGGCCAGAUGGAAGUGACGGAUCUCGAGGGUAGUUCAUCCUUAUCGGAUUGAAUGGGCUGCUUAGAGGUUCCUGGAAAUAGCUCCAUCGCUAGAUCGUACCCUAAACCGACACAGGUGGACUGGUAGAGAAUACCAAGGCGCUUGAGAGAACUAUGUUGAAGGAACUCGGCAAAAUACCUCCGUAAGUUCGCGAGAAGGAGGCCCGGUUCCUAGGCAACUAGGGGCUGGGGGCACAAACCAGGGGGUGGCGACUGUUUAUUAAAAACACAGGGCUCUGCGAAGUCGCAAGACGACGUAUAGGGUCUGACGCCUGCCCGGUGCCUGAAGGUUAAAAGGAGGGGUGAGAGCUCUGAAUUGAAGCCCAGGUAAACGGCGGCCGUAACUAUAACGGUCCUAAGGUAGCGAAAUUCCUUGUCGGGUAAGUUCCGACCUGCACGAAUGGCGUAACGACUUCCCCGCUGUCUCCAACAUAGACUCAGCGAAAUUGAAUUACCUGUCAAGAUGCAGGUUUCCCGCGGUUAGACGGAAAGACCCCGUGCACCUUUACUACAGCUUCACACUGGCAUUAGGCCGAACAUGUGCAGGAUAGGUGGUGGGCUUUGAAACCGGAACGCCAGUUUCGGUGGAGCCUCCCUUGAGAUACCACCCUUGUUCUGCUUGAUGUCUAACCGCGGUCCGUUAUCCGGAUCCGGGACCCUGUGUGGCGGGUAGUUUGACUGGGGCGGUCGCCUCCUAAAUCGUAACGGAGGCGCGCGAAGGUUGGCUCAGAGCGGUCGGAAAUCGCUCGUUGAGUGCAAUGGCAGAAGCCAGCCUGACUGCGAGACUGACAAGUCGAGCAGAGUCGAAAGACGGCCAUAGUGAUCCGGUGGUCCCAAGUGGGAGGGCCAUCGCUCAACGGAUAAAAGGUACGCCGGGGAUAACAGGCUGAUACUGCCCAAGAGUCCAUAUCGACGGCAGUGUUUGGCACCUCGAUGUCGGCUCAUCUCAUCCUGGGGCUGGAGCAGGUCCCAAGGGUACGGCUGUUCGCCGUUUAAAGAGGUACGUGAGCUGGGUUUAGAACGUCGUGAGACAGUUCGGUCCCUAUCUUCCGUGGGUGUAGGAUACUUGAGAGGAGUUGCCCCUAGUACGAGAGGACCGGGGUGAACGAUCCACUGGUGGACCAGUUGUUAUGCCAAUAGCAGUGCUGGGUAGCUAUGAUCGGACAGGAUAACCGCUGAAGGCAUCUAAGCGGGAAGCCCCCCUCAAAACAAGGUAUCCCUGAGAGCCGAGGUAGACCACCUCGUCGAUAGGCCAGAGAUGUAAGCGUAGUAAUACGUUCAGUUGACUGGUACUAAUUGCUCGAUAGGCUUGAUUUG